rnacentral:sRNA from 1 species
UCACUUUGAAAAUUUUUAAAUUCAGAUUACAUGCUUUGUUUGGGUACAUACAAUUUGCAUAUUGAUUUCUGGUUAUAUUCAUAUUUUGCCGCCAUUACCACCGGAGCCCAAUUGUUGAUCUCAAAACGGCAUUGUUCGACCUGCGAGCCCGGCUAGCAGCUGCUUACUUGGCUAAAACACAGAUUAACACGUUUACUUCAUGCUGUUCGCAUUGCACGGGCGUACAUUAUGUCGUAUAUUGUAAAACAUCGAGGGUGUCGCGGCCUUAAAUCGCGGCCUCUGGGAUUUGACUCGUAACGUUUUUAAGUACAACAAUUAGUUAAUUGAUAAGAUUGGGAAGUCAGCUGUUCAGGUGAGAGCCUGGUGAAAUGUACAUUAAUUGGUCAUCGGACUGGAGGGACAAUAAAUGAGUUGCACACGCUGUGGCUAUUACAAAAUGAA